AACGAACGCUGGCGGCAUGCCUAACACAUGCAAGUCGAACGAGACCUUCGGGUCUAGUGGCGCACGGGUGCGUAACGCGUGGGAACCUGCCCUUAGGUUCGGAAUAACUCCCCGAAAGGGGUGCUAAUACCGGAUAAUGUCUUCGGACCAAAGAUUUAUCGCCUUUGGAUGGGCCCGCGUUGGAUUAGCUAGUUGGUAGGGUAAAAGCCUACCAAGGCGACGAUCCAUAGCUGGUCAGAGAGGCUGAUCAGCCACACUGGGACUGAGACACGGCCCAGACUCCUACGGGAGGCAGCAGUGGGGAAUAUUGGACAAUGGGCGAAAGCCUGAUCCAGCAAUGACGCGUGAGUGAUGAAGGCAUUAGGGUUGUAAAGCUCUUUUACCCAGGAUGAUAAUGACAGUACCGGGAGAAUAAGCUCCGGCUAACUCCGUG
rnacentral:rRNA from 1 species